GACCUGUAAAUAUAUAUACGUAAUUGAAUAAGGGGUGACCAGACUUAAAGAUGAUGAUGGUAAGAGUGGUUUUGAUAAGGUAGAAGUAGAAGGAAAUAUAUAGAGUAAAAUGAUACAUAUUACAAGCUUAUGAGUGCUGUAGAAGAAGAAGGAGAAGAAGAAAUGGGGGAAAAUAUAUUAAUGAAGAUGAAAAAGAAUAAUGAGAAGACUGCUAAUAAAAGGAGGAGAAGAGGAAAAGAAGAGGAAGAGGAAGGUGAGAAAUACAAAAUACAAAGAGGAAGAUAAAUGAGAAGAAGAGGAAGGAGAAGAGAAAGAGGAGGAGCGUGAAGAGGAAGAAGAGGAGGAAGAGGAAGAAGAGGAAGAUGACCAAAAAAAAAAUAAUAAUAACAAAACAAUGAGAAAGAAGAUGAAUAGGAAGAAGAAGAAGAAGAAGAAGAAGAAGAAGAAGAGGAAGAAGAAGAAGAGGAUGAUGACAAAAAAAAUGAGGAAGAUGAAUGAGAAGACAAAGAAGAGGAGGAGGAAGAAGAGGAAGAGGAAGAGGAGGAAGAGGAC